AUUACUAAGCGGAGGAAAAGAAACUAACUAGGAUUCCAUUAGUAACGGCGAGUGAAGUUGGAAGUGCCCAGCGCUGAAUCCCACGGGCGUUGUCCGUCGGGAACUGUGGCGUUUGGGACGUCUGCUGUGUCGGCAGGCAGCCGCCUGAGUCCCCCUGAUUGGGGCUUCACCCAGUGCGGGUGUCAGGCCUCUGAGGCGGCUCCCGUCGGCGCUUUAGGCGUCCUCGGAGUCGGGUUGUUUGGGAAUGCAGCCCUAAGUUGGUGGUAAACUCCAUCUCAGGCUAAAUACUGGCAUGAGUCCGAUAGCGGACAAGUACCGUGAGGGAAAGUUGAAAAGAACUUUG
rnacentral:rRNA from 1 species